GUCAAGAAAGCGCGUUACGUCGGCGCUCAAGCUGCGCAGUACAACACCUAUGUCACGCUGAAGCUGCAGAAUGUGAAGUCGACUACGGUAACGGUGAAAGGCGCCAACCCCUGCUGGGAGCAAGACUUCCUGUUCGAGACGAACGACGUGAACACGGGCCUGCUGAUAGAGGCGUGGAGCAAGGGCAUGCUGUGGGACCGCGCACUCGGCUACCACUGGGUGCCGCUGCCCUCCGUCAAGUACUCCAACGAGGUG